rnacentral:rRNA from 1 species
GACGAACGCUGGCGGCGUGCUUAACACAUGCAAGUCGAGCGGUAAGGCCCUUUCGGGGGUACGACGAGCGGCGAACGGGUGAGUAACACGUGGGUGACCUGCCCUCAGCUCUGGGAGUAAGCCUGGGAAACCGGGGUCUAAUACCGGAUAUGACUCCAUGACGCGAUGUUGUGGGGUGGAAAGCCUUGUGCGGCUGAGGAUGGGCCCGCGGCCUAUCAGCUUGUUGGUGGGUGAUGGCUACCAAGGCGACGACGGGUAGCCGGCCUGAGAGGGCGACCGGCCGACACUGGGACUGAGACACGGCCCAGAC